rnacentral:rRNA from 1 species
GAUCCUGGCUCAGGAUGAACGCUGGCGGCGUGCUUAACACAUGCAAGUCGAACGAGGAAUUUUAAAUGAGACUUCGGUGGAUUUUAAAAUUCUUAGUGGCGGACGGGUGAGUAACGCGUGGGCAACCUGCCUCAAAGAGGGGGACAACAGUUGGAAACGACUGCUAAUACCGCAUAAGCCCAUGGGUCGGCAUCGACCUGAGGGAAAAGGAGUAAUCCGCUUUGAGAUGGCCUCGCGUCCGAUUAGCUAGUUGGUG